UUCGACCUGAGCUCAGGCAAGACUACCCGCUGAACUUAAGCAUAUCAAUAAGCGGAGGAAAAGAAACUAACUAGGAUGCCCUUAGUAACGGCGAGCGAACCGGGCAAAGCCCCAACUUGAAAUCUCCAGCCUCCGGCUGGCGA
rnacentral:rRNA from 1 species